rnacentral:lncRNA from 1 species
GACAUGGGAGGGUGAGAACCGAGUGUAAGUGCAUCUGUGUGUCAGUGUUUUUGGGUGAGGGUGUGUAUUAGUACAUGCUUGAAUAUGUCAGCUUGUGUGAGUGCAUAUGUCAGUCUGCUUGGGUAUCAUCUUGAGGCAUCACACACGGGGUGGCUUAAACAACAGAAAUGUAUUAGUUUACAGUCUGGAGGCUGGAAGCCCAAGAUCAUGGUAUUGAAAUGAUAAGAAAUCUGACUUUCUUGUAGCCUCAUCCUGGGUUUGCGAGUUUAUGAAGAAGCUGAAGAGCUCCAUCAUUUCCCAGCUAAACAUAGUUCUUCAGGUCUCAGGGUUUAAAAUGAUUUCCUCCUAAGUCAACGCAGCAUUUUGCCUCCAUUCCAGCAACCCCUUCCUCCAAGCAUCGUGAUGUGACAGUGCAGCGUUCACAGGCCCACCCCAGCUGAUCUGCCCUACGGCACAAGAAUAACAAUUGGAAAAACUUGGCUUCCCUCUGAGAGCAAUGCCAGCUUUGCCCAGGCCAGCCAUCUCUGGUAUAACUCUGUUCAUUUGAGCUUUCCUCAUGUAUGAUCAUCCUUGUAUGACCCCGAGGCCAGAGUCCCCAUUUAUUAAAGCUAGGAAAGACAUUUUUGAGGCUCUAGUUAGUUUGUUCUUUCAUAGUGAAAGAACUGUUUGUGGGCUCAAAGGGGGAUGUGGCAAUAGGUUAUUUCGGGCUUUCGAAAGGCCUG